AUUCCCACCGAGGGGCACCGGGCAGCCGAGGACUUAACAGGCACCGGACCCGAAGGGUGCGAGCACCCGGGGAGGAGGAUCAAUGCAAGCGAGAGGAAAUAGCCCGACACAGGCCCGAUGCGCAGUUGGCGACGAGGCGUGCGACUCUCACUCGUUUCAGCUGAACCGGCUACUGCUGGAGGAAGAUGGGAAAGAAAUGACAAGACUUCAGGAUAUGGAGCUUUCGAUCAGAGGCGGCGGCUGGACGGAUCAUAGCCCCGGAUUUCUUUUAACAACCGACCUGAGAUCUGAGAGAGCCAAACUUUUGCUGUGAGUCUGCCCGUUUGAAGGAAAGGAAACACGUCCAGGAGUUCACCAACAAACAAACGGAUGCAAUUAAGCACACUCGCCUUCAGAUCAUCAAAGAGGAGGCAAAGUCAAGACUGGCAGAAAACUGAGAAGGACAAAUAAAAGGCGGAAGAAGACUCUGCUGCCUCAAGGUUACCACUGACUGACUGAACUGUGUGAAGAGCUCAUCUCCUCGCAAUCUGGAGAGUUCUUGAAUCUUCUGCAAGGACAAAUCACUAGCCGUGUUUCAUAGUGAAUGGGCUCAUUUUAGAAC